rnacentral:rRNA from 1 species
CCCUCGUCUUCGGGAUAACUACUGGAAACGGUGGCUAAUACCGAAUAUUCACUUCCUGUCGCAUGGUGGGUGGUGGAAAGUUUUUCGGACGAGGAUGGGCUCGCGGCCUAUCAGCUUGUUGGUGGGGUGAUGGCCUACCAAGGCGACGACGGGUAGCCGGCCUGAGAGGGUGACCGGCCACACUGGGACUGAGAUACGGCCCAGACACAUACGGGAGGCAGCAGUGGGGAAUAUUGCACAAUGGGCGAAAGCUGAUGCAGCGACGCCGCGUGAGGGAUGACGGCCUUCGGGUUGUAAACCUCUUUCAGCAGGGAAGAAGCGAAAGUGACGGUACCUGCAGAAGAAGCGCCGGCUAACUACGUGCCAGCAGCCGCGGUAAUACGUAGGGCGCAAGCGUUGUCCGGAAUUAUUGGGCGUAAAGAGCUCGUAGGCGGUUAGUCGCGUCUGCUGUGAAAACUCGAGGCUCAACCUCGGGCUUGCAGUGGGUACGGGCUGACUAGAGUGCGGUAGGGGUGACUGGAAUUCCUGGUGUAGCGGUGGAAUGCGCAGAUAUCAGGAGGAACACCGAUGGCGAAGGCAGGUCAUUGGGCCGCAACUGACGCUGAGGAGCGAAAGCAUGGGGAGCGAACAGGAUUAGAUACCCUGGUAGUCCAUGCCGUAAACGUUGGGCACUAGGUGUGGGGUCCAUUCCACGGAUUCCGUGCCGCAGCAAACGCAUUAAGUGCCCCGCCUGGGGAGUACGGCGCAAGGCUAAAACUCAAAGAAAUUGACGGGGGCCGCACAAGCGGCGGAGCAUGCGGAUUAAUUCGAUGCAACGCGAAGAACCUUACCAAGGCUUGACAUGCACCGGAAACUUCCAGAGAUGGUUGCCCCGCAAGGUCGGUGCACAGGUGGUGCAUGGUUGUCGUCAGCUCGUGUCGUGAGAUGUUGGGUUAAGUCCCGCAACGAGCGCAACCCUCGUCCCAUGUUGCCAGCGGGUUAUGCCGGGGACUCAUGGGAGACUGCCGGGGUCAACUCGGAGGAAGGUGGGGAUGACGUCAAAUCAUCAUGCCCCUUAUGUCUUGGGCUUCACGCAUGCUACAAUGGCCGGUACAAAGGGUUGCGAUACCGCGAGGUGGAGCGAAUCCCAAAAAGCCGGUCUCAGUUCGGAUUGGGGUCUGCAACUCGACCCCAUGAAGUCGGAGUCGCUAGUAAUCGCAGAUCAGCAACGCUGCGGUGAAUACGUUCCCGGGCCUUGUACACACC